UGACGGAGGUUGUGGCAUGAGAGGAGCUCUGUCCAACUGCCAUCCUUAUACCGCGGCCCAGCAUAGCUAGGCUGGAAUCGGCUUAUACUGAGAGCCGGGGGUUUGAAGAAACUGGUGGACGUUAAGGAGGUGACAGCAGAAUAGUUAGUGACACAAACGCAGCUGUCGAUUAGCCCAAACGCCGACACUGACAUACAGACAGCGCGGACCCACGUGGGGCAGGUCAGCUGACCAGUGAGGGUGUGCUAAAGCACAGAUGAGCAGCGUGGAGCCAGAUGAAAAGGCCAGGGAGACAGCUCGGCGGCUCCUGCAGAGGGGGAGAUGUGCUGGAGGGUGCUGGCUGCUGGACGAUUGGAUGCUUAAGCGACCGGUAAAUAGGGCUGCGUCAGGAGCGGGCCCGGGGUGCAUUGGAGGCCACUGACAGCUCGGCAGAGUGGGUCCACAUUGCACUGAAUGCUGCUGAUGAAUCAUUGAAGGUUGGAAGACAGCAAAAGGACACUGAUCGCUGAUUGAAAGAAAACAUUACACAUUACUCCAAUCUCCCAACUUCAUGGCUCGGGUGAAUUGCAGCGGCAAAACAUUUUUUUCUCCCUGAGUACCGUAAGUGUUUAUUAGAUUUUUCAACAAGACAGAAACAAAAGUAAUCAAGAAAACGUGCUUACAAGGGAAACCAUCCCAAUCAACAAGGCACAAAAUUCAAGGCAAUAACAUGUCGUCUAAAUCAAAGGCAAGCCUACAUAUCAAGGAGUUUUCUAGACGACAACACCGUGUGUAGAGAUUGGGAACAAAAUCCAUAAAUAAUACGGUAUCAAUUUCCUUUACUGCAAGUAGUAACACACAUGAAGAGAAUAG